UACGAAGGGGGCUAGCGUUGUUCGGAAUUACUGGGCGUAAAGCGCGCGUAGGCUGUGCCGCAAGUCAGGGGUGAAAUCCCAGAGCUCAACUCUGGAACUGCCUUUGAAACUGCGGUGCUGGAAUCUCAGAGGGGGUAGCGGAAUUCCAAAUGUAGGGGUGAAAUGCGCAGAUAUCAGGAGGAACACCGAUUGCGAAGGCAGCUCGCUGGGACGGUACUGACGCUGAGACGCGAAAGCGUGGGGAGCGAACAGG
rnacentral:rRNA from 1 species